rnacentral:lncRNA from 1 species
GUCACUCCCAAUUUCCAUUAUUCCAACUUUUGUUUUUCUUACAACUAAAUUAUUUCCACCAUUUCUAAGUCUAUCAAGCUUAAUUUCUCCAAUUUCUUUCAUGAUUAGUGAGUGGAAAUCAAUAGAAAAGCGUAGUAGCUACCUAAAUUUCAUAAGAAGUGCAUCCAUAGUUGUCUUAGAGGAGAGACAAAAUAAGAAUUAGUGUUGAGUACAAGUGAUUGAGGUAAGAAAUGAUAAGCUUUUCAUGAAAUUCAUGUUAAAGAAUAUAGAUUUUGAUUUUGAUGUGCAAAUAUUGUGUGUUUUGAUAUGGAAAUGAAGAAAAAGAAGGAAAUUGAGAAUCAAGUGGAGGACUAAGGCAAAGGAGUAGUCAAGGGUAGAAGAAGAAGAAGAAGAAGAAAGCUUGAUUCCAAGCUUUUGGUUGUAAGUACAACUAGAAUUUUACUUACUUUAAAUAAGUUAAUUAUCAAGUUUAAUUAGAUGUAUAAAAAAUUACAGGAUAUUUGGUUAUUAGCUUUUAUGCUACAUAAAUAAAUAAAUAAAAAUUAAUGUUGAUUAAGGAUAAAGAAAGUGAUGAUUUAAUUCCAUCCACCAAGUAGUUUGUUAAAGAGAAAAGGAAGAAAGCUGGGAGAAAGAUUAAAAGUGAGAAAAAUGACUAAAUUGUAAAAGAUGUAAAAGUUGAAAGAAAAUGCAAUUAUUAUGAUUAAGUGUGUAACUGAAGUGAAACAUUUUGAUGAGUGAUAUGUGGAAUGAUGCAGUAAUGUUAUGAUAAUACUUGCUGAAUUAUGACAAAGAAAAAUACUAAAUUGCAAAAUAUGCAAAAGUCACGUGAGAAAUAUGGUAAGUUUUAGUAGUAAAUUAUGGAAUUUUUAUUAUGUAGUUAGAUAUGUUAUAUGUAUUAAAGAAAGUUAAAAAUUUUGUUUUUGAAUUGUUACAAUGUGGACUAAAUUGAAAUAAGUUUAAAGUAUUUAAAUUAUGUUAUCAAAUGAGGAAAUGAAAUUGAUUUCGAUAUAAUUGUCCAAGUAGACGACAUGAGAACUAGUGGGAUAUAGAUGGCAGGGCAUUAAGGAAAACUUAUCGCGCUCUUUGUUGUGAAUACGCAUUUCGGUGUUGUCCUAUUCUGUUAUUGCACUACGGUAAUUUUUGUAUUAUUUUCGUAUAUCCUAUGUGUUCUGUUGAGUCUAAUGGGCCUUUGUUGAACAAUAAAAGAUAGCCUCUAUUGAAUAAUGAAAUAAGAACACAAAAUUUAUUAAAAGGUGACAAGAUUGUAAAUUGAUAAAGAAUAGUGAUGGAUGAAAUUAUACGUUUAUUGAGUGGUAAUUUAAUGUUAUUAAUGUUAACAGGUCCUGAACUUAUUUACUAUAAUGACAUUGAGUUAUGUUUUCCUGUGUAGAUAAACUGUAAAUUUGUACUUACUAAGCUUUCAUUAGCUUAACACGUGUUUUAAACAUGUAGGUAAAAGCUAGAGGCAACAUAUUAUUAAGGAUUAGUAGCUUCACAUCUCAUCAUAUCAUUGUAACUGGGAAAAGAGUAAAUUACUUCUCUAUUUUGUUUUUCAGUAAAUGGCAUGUACCUAGGUGAGUGCUUAUGCUAGUAAAUGGUAAACAAAUGGACUCCCUACAUUAUGUAAAUGUGUUUUGGUAAGUAAUUGUAGAAUACAUAUGGAAAUUGAGUAUGCCUUAGAUGAUUUAAUUUGAAGAAAUGGAAACAGGGCAAAAAUAGAACGGACGUCACGACGAGGGAGUAAUGAUGGCAAGUCAAAGAGUGACAUCACGACGAAGAACGCCAGACGCUUCGAUGUCAGCUCAAAUCUUUGGAAACUUCACAUUUUAGUCCAUGUUCAAACUUAGACCACUGAAAGUGCUAUCAUAAGCUCGUAUAUAACCAAAAUUGUGUUCGAAUCUUGUUGUAAAUGUAUAAUGAUCUUAUUAACUUGAAUGAAAUAAUGAAAUCAAUUGAAA